CCUCUCCUCUCUUUCUUACGAUCUCUCCCCCAGUCACCAUUUUAGGCUUGAGAUCGAUCCCUUUGCUGAGUGCCUGCCUUCUGGAUAUUGUUCUCUCUUGCUGUUAACGUUAAUUGCUGUCGUGGCGCGACUUUGAGUCUUUGUGCUGCUGCUGUCCUCCCCGAAGCUUUUCUCUCGGAUUCUUUGUGUUGCUGCUGCUGUCCUUCACGACCUCAGAGUCCAUUUCAUUAAAUUUGUCAAUAUUUGCAUUAGCUGUAGACGGUACAAUAAAGAUAUUAACUAUGGGAGAGGAAGAAACCGUAGGAGGAGAGCAGGGAAGCUCUCUUGCAGCUCCUGUCAUCUUUCU
rnacentral:misc_RNA from 1 species